rnacentral:rRNA from 1 species
GACGAACGCUGGCGGCGUGCUUAACACAUGCAAGUCGAACGGAAAGGCCCUGCCUUUGUGGGGUGCUCGAGUGGCGAACGGGUGAGUAACACGUGAGUAACCUGCCCUUGACUUUGGGAUAACUUCAGGAAACUGGGGCUAAUACCGGAUAGGAGCUCCUGCUGCAUGGUGGGGGUGGGAAAGUUUCGGCGGUUGGGGAUGGACUCGCGGCUUAUCAGCUUGUUGGUGGGGUAGUGGCUUACCAAGGCUUUGACGGGUAGCCGGCCUGAGAGGGUGACCGGCCACAUUGGGACUGAGAUACGGCCCAGACUCCUACGGGAGGCAGCAGUGGGGAAUAUUGCACAAUGGGCGGAAGCCUGAUGCAGCAACGCCGCGUGCGGGAUGACGGCCUUCGGGUUGUAAACCGCUUUCGCCUGCGACGAAGCGUGAGUGACGGUAAUGGGUAAAGAAGCACCGGCUAACUACGUG